rnacentral:tRNA from 1 species
GCCUGAGUGGCUCAGCUGGUUAAGCAUCUGACUUUGGCUCAGGUCAGGAUCUCAUAGCUCAGGUCAUGAUCUCACAGUUUGUGAGUUCAAGCCCCACAUCAGGCU